rnacentral:misc_RNA from 1 species
GGUCAGAUGGUAAGCGCGCUACCAAAUAUUAGAUAUCUUCCUCCUCCUUCACAGAUAUUAAUACAUAUGAUACUAAUGCAAACCACAAAUUGGAAUAAUGCAUGAUUUAAUAAUGUAACCUAAUACCGUAAUAAUCCACACGAUGGGGUCAAAUAAUAGAUACAGAUACUGAGAAUAGGUACCAAUUCAAAAAAGAAAAUCAAUUUGUACAAAUCAA